rnacentral:rRNA from 1 species
AGUGAACGCUGGCGGUAGGCCUAACACAUGCAAGUCGAACGGCAGCACAGUAAGAGCUUGCUCUUACGGGUGGCGGGUGGCGGACGGGUGAGGAAUACAUCGGAAUCUACUUUUUCGUGGGGGAUAACGUAGGGAAACUUACGCUAAUACCGCAUACGACCUACGGGUGAAAGCAGGGGAUCUUCGGACCUUGCGCGAUUGAAUGAGCCGAUGUCGGAUUAGCUAGUUGGCGGGGUAAAGGCCCACCAAGGCGACGAUCCGUAGCUGGUCUGAGAGGAUGAUCCGCCACACUGGAACUGAGACACGGUCCAGACUCCUACGGGAGGCAGCAGUGGGGAAUAUUGGACAAUGGGCGCAAGCCUGAUCCAGCCAUACCGCGUGGGUGAAGAAGGCCUUCGGGUUGUAAAGCCCUUUUGUUGGGAAAGAAAAGCAGCAGGUUAAUACCCCGCUGUUCUGACGGUACCCAAAGAAUAAGCACCGGCUAACUUCGUG